AGAGUUUGAUCCUGGCUCAGAACGAACGCUGGCGGCGUGGCUAAGACAUGCAAGUCGCACGAACGACCUGAAGGAGUAAUCUUGAUGGAAGUUAGUGGCGAAAGGGUGAGUAAUACAUAGAUAACGUACCCCAAACACUGGGAUAGCUGCGGAACUUCGGUUCCUUUGCGAAAGUGCAGGUAAUACCAGAUGAUAUCUUACUGUCGUAUGGCAGAAAGAUCAAAGGUUCGCUGGUUUGGGAGCGGUUUAUGUCGUAUCAGCUUGUUGGUGAGGUAAUGGCUCACCAAGGCUUCGACGCGUAACGGGACUGAGAGGUUGACCCGCCACAUCGGGACUGAGACACUGCCCGGACCUCCACGGAGGGCUGCAGUAACGAAUAUUGCGCAAUGGACGAAAGUCUGACGCAGCAACGCCGUGUGUGGGAUGAAGGCCCUCGGGUCGUAAACUACUGUCAGAGUGAAGAAAGAUCUGAUCGAUCUCAAAGGAAGCACCGGCUAACUCCGUGCCAGCAGUCGCGGUAAUACGGAGGGUGCAAGCGUUGUUCGGAAUCAUUGGGCUUAAAGAGCUCGUAGGCGGAUUAUUAAGCAUCUUGUGAAAUCCCUCGGCUUAACCGAGGAACUGCUCGAUGAACUGGUAAUCUUGAGACAAGUAGAGGUACGUGGAACUUCAGGUGGAGCGGUGAAAUGCGUAGAUAUCUGAAGGAACGCCAGUGGUGAAAACGGCGUACUGGGCUUGUUCUGACGCUGAGGAGCGAAAGCAUGGGUAGCGAACGGGAUUAGAUACCCCGGUAGUCCAUGCCGUAAACGAUGUCUACUAGGUUGUGGGCGGUCUGACCUUUCCGCAGCCGUAGCAAAAGUAUUAAGUAGACCGCCUGGGGAGUACGGUCGCAAGGCUAAAACUCAAAGGAAUUGACGGGGGGCUCACACAAGCAGUGGAGCAUGUGGCUUAAUUCGAAGCAACGCGAAGAACCUUAUCCAGGGUUUGACUAUUACGGAUGCUCUUGCCGAAAGGUGAGCAGGCUGCCUUCGGGUGAAACGUAAACAGGUGCUGCAUGGCUGUCGUCAGCUCGUGUCGUGAGAUGUCGGGUUAAGUCCCUUAACGAGCGAAACCCUUAUUGUUAGUUGCCAGCGCGUAAUGGCGGGGACUCUAGCAAGACUGCCGGUGUUAAACCGGAGGAAGGCGGGGAUGACGUCAAGUCCUCAUGGCCUUUAUGCCCAGGGCUGCACACGUGCUACAAUGGUAUGGAUAGACCGACGCGAUACCGCGAGGUGGAGCAAAUCGGAAAAACCAUAUCUCAGUUCGGAUUGUAGGCUGCAACUCGCCUACAUGAAGUUGGAAUCGCUAGUAAUCGCAGAUCAGCAUGCUGCGGUGAAUAUGUUCCUGAGCCUUGUACACACCGCCCGUCAAGUCACGGAAGCUGGGAGUACCUGAAGUCGGGUAGUCAACCCUCACGGGAGACGCCCGCCGAUGGUAAGUUCGGUAACUGGGGCUAAGUCGUAACAAGGUA
rnacentral:rRNA from 1 species